UACGGAGGGUGCGAGCGUUGUCCGGAAUCACUGGGCGUAAAGGGCGCGUAGGCGGCCCGGUAAGUCGGGGGUGAAAUCUUGCGGCUUAACCGCAAGGCUGCCUUCUAAACUGCCAGGCUCGAGCACAGUAGAGGCAGGUGGAAUUCCCGGUGUAGCGGUGGAAUGCGUAGAGAUCGGGAAGAACAUCGGUGGCGAAGGCGGCCUGCUGGGCUGUUGCUGACGCUGAGGCGCGACAGCGUGGGGAGCAAACAGG
rnacentral:rRNA from 1 species